CAGCACCGGAGCCAUGGUAACCGUCAAGAUAUGGAGCCUGGGUUACCAGUGAACCGGAAAUUGAGACGCCAGACGGUGUACUCUUCCUUCUGCAGGGCUCCUUAGGAUUUGUUCAAAAGAGCAGAAGGAGAGGGUCCGGUAGAACACUGCCUGUUCAUCAGCGCAUCCCUAAGGCUUAAAAAUUCUAAAAUGAGGGGCUUCCCUGGUGGCGCAGUGGUUAAGAAUCUGCCUUCCAAUGCAAGGGACACGGGUUCGAGCCCUGAGCCCUGGCGGGGGAAGAUCCCUGUGCGCC